rnacentral:rRNA from 1 species
AUGGCUGCAGGGCCGUUGGAGCUCUGGAACCACCGGUCGAUGCAGAUCCUGGUCCUCCUCAGCCUUGGGCUCCAACUCGUCCUCUUCGUCUUCGCCGGGAUCCGCCGGCGUCAAAACCUCCCGGUGCGGAGGCUCCUCCUGUGGCUAGCGUACCUCAUGGCCGACUCCACGGCCGUGUACGCCGUCGGCCACCUGUCGUUCGGCAGCACGGUGCGCGAGCACCGGCUGGUGGCGUUCUGGGCGCCGUUCCUGCUGCUGCACCUCGGCGGCCCGGACAACAUCACUGCCUACGCGCUCCAGGAUAACCAGCUCUGGCUCCGCCACCUCCAGAUUCUCGUCGUGCAGGUUCUCGGAGCGGGCUACGUCCUCUACAAACACAUCGCUGUCGCCGGCGGCGAGGACGGGAAGUUCCUCCGGGGCGCCUCCUACAUGAUGUUCGCCGUCGGCGUCGUCAAGUACGCGGAGAGGACAUGGGCGCUCAGGUGCAGCACCCUGGAGAGCAUAGGCGCCUCCCUCAAGACGCGGCUGCCGGCCAUCCACAAGCAUUACCACCCUCAGGACAACGCCACGGAGGAGGAGUUCAACCUGCGCCGUGCUCACUCGCUGUUCCACAUCUGCAAGCGAGCCAUCGUCGACUCCUCGGUGGUCGAGGAGGACUUCGUGGACAGCCUAGAAGAGGAGGACGCCAACAAACUGAUACAUGGCGUGGAGCUGUGGACGCUGAUGGAGCUCGAGCUCUCCCUCAUGUACGACGUCUUGUACACCAAGGCGGCCGUGGUGCACACCUCCAUGGGCUACCUGAUCCGCGUCAUCUCGCCGCUCACCGCCGCCGUCUCGCUGGUGCUGUUCCAGCUCACCCCCAAGGACGGCCACGACAGAGCUGACGUGGCCAUCACCUACGUCCUGCUGGGUGGCGCCGUGUUCAUGGAGACGACAUCGCUGCUGAACGCGCUGGCAUCGUCGUGGACGUUUGCAUUCCUGAGCAGCACCAGGUGGCAAUGGCUUCGGUACGGGGUCCUAUGCAACGAGAGGUGGGACAAGCUCCGGCGUGCGGUCGUGUGGCUUCACCAUCUCGUCAAGCAAGGUGAUAGCAGGUACAAGUCAAGAAGGUGGUCCUACACCAUCGGGCAGUACAACUUGCUGCACUUCUGCACACGCCCCGCUGACACGCCAUUCACCAGCCCCCUGCUCGGGAGGCUAGCCAGGGCGCUGGCACUCGACGAGUGGUGGAACAGGAGGCACUACUCGGCGACCGUCGAGAUGUCUGGUGAGAUCAAGCUUCGCAUCGCUCUGUACAUGAGGCGGUUGUACACCGGAGGGAAGUUCAACUCAGGUAUGCUAAGGAAGAAGUGGGGUGAAGAACCGCUGGUACGCCGUGGGCUUUACAGCGGCGUCCUCAUGGACUCCCUCGGUGUCGAGUUCCAGGAGGGGAUCAUCAUCUGGCACAUUGCCACCGAGGUCUUCCUCACCAAGAGCGAGAAAGCCAAGGCCGUGGACGCCGCGCCUAGUGUGCAUGCCAUUAGGGUCAUGUCCGACUACUUGAUGUUCCUUCUGGUGCAACGUCCCUACAUGUUGCCGGGCCAGCCCCAAAAGAGGUUGUACCAACGGACCUGCGAAAGGCUGGUCACCAAGCGAUCGGUUGAUCCUAGGUACCCAAGCCGUGCACGCGUCGUCAAGGAUCUGUUCCGGAUGCGUGAUGCCCCACACUCCAGCAUUUCUAGGGUCGCCGAGAGAGAGGAGCUCGCCAAUAACUUGUACGACGAAUAUGAGAACCAGGAGUUCAGCCACCUUGCUCCUCGUCUCACGCACAUGGCUCGACUCGCCAAGGAGCUGCUGGAGAAGGAGAAGGAUGGCGCGACCGACUCCUUGGGGCUUGUCCUUGACGUGUGGAUGGACAUUCUCGUCUACGCGAGCAACAAGUGCAGCAGGGAGUCCCAUGCCCAGAAGCUCAACAGUGGAGGCGAGUUGACGACCAUCUUGUGGCUUAUGGCAGAAUACAUCUACCAAGCAUCGAUUGCCCAAAAAGAUGAUGUACUAUAA